rnacentral:rRNA from 1 species
UACGGGGGGGGGCAAGCGUUGUUCGGAAUUACUGGGCGUAAAGGGCUCGUAGGCGGCCAACUAAGUCAGACGUGAAAUCCCUCAGCUUAACUGGGGAACUGCGUCUGAUACUGGAUGGCUUGGAUCCGGGAGAGGGAUGCGGAAUUCCAGGUGUAGCGGUGAAAUGCGCAGAUAUCAGGAGGAACACCGGUGGCGAAGGCGGGUCUCUGGGCCGAUACUGACGCUGAGGAGCGAAAGCGUGGGGAGCGAACAGG